GGCGCUAUGGACGAAUUGGUAGAGUUACCACGCUUUCACCGUGGAGUGUCCGGGUUCAAUCCCCGGUAGCGUCA
rnacentral:tRNA from 1 species